rnacentral:tRNA from 2 species
UAGGGAGACCGAAUCCACUCAAAUCUGAAAGCACUUAGUAAAUAGGAAGAGAGUAGGUCAACCAAGGUCGUGCAAGGGAAAAAAGGAAUAAAAACUUUCAAACUAUCUAAUCGGUUCGGAAUAAGAGAGAAAAUUAAAAAACUCAGCUUAUAAAAAACAGACAAGGGCUAUUAGCUCAGCUGGUUAGAGCGCACGGCUGAUAACCGUGAGGUCUCUGGUUCAAGUCCAGAAUGGCCCACCUGACCAAAAGCCAAAAAAGUCAAUAAAAACUAAAAAUUGACAAAAAAGCCGAAAAAAAGGAAAAAAGAUUCAGCAUCCGACCGUAAAAAAGAAGGAAUGCUGGAUGAAAAUCCAGUGAGAACCUUGAAAACUGCAUAGAAAAAGAAAGAGAAGUCAGGUGUAAAAAACCGACCGAAAAAAA